GCAAACUUGGUCAUUUAGAGGAAGUAAAAGUCGUAACAAGGUUUCCGUAGGUGAACCUGCGGAAGGAUCAUUAUUGAGUUUUGGGUCGAACAAUUCGUUGUUUGUUGCCCACAAUCUCCCAACCCUUUGUUUAAUUAAACACUUUUUGUUGCUUUGGUUAAGACGUCAAACCUCUUAACCAAUAGCCAAUUUUAAUUCUUCAAUUUUUAACCAUGAAGUCUGAAUUUUUGAUUAAAAUUUAAUUAAAACUUUCAACAACGGAUCUCUUGGUUCUGGCAUCGAUGAAGAACGCAGC
rnacentral:misc_RNA from 1 species